CAGAUCAUUUCUGUUAGUUGAGUAUUCAUUUACGCUGAAUUUUGUGUCGUGCGAUUCGACAUGGUCUGA
rnacentral:tRNA from 1 species